rnacentral:rRNA from 1 species
AUUGAACGCUGGCGGCAGGCUUAACACAUGCAAGUCGAGCGAGCGGCGGACGGGUGAGUAAUGUCUGGGAAACUGCCUGAUGGAGGGGGAUAACUACUGGUAACGGUAGCUAAUACCGCAUACCAUCAGAUGUGCCCGGAUGGGAUUAGCUAGUAGGUGGGGUAAUGGCUCUCCUAGGCAACGAUCCCUAGCUGGUCUGAGAGGAAGACCAGCUACACUGGAACUGAGACAAGGUCCAGACUACUACGGGAGGCAGCAGUGGGGAAUAUUGCACAAUGGGCGCAAGCCUGAUGCAGCCAUGCCGCGUGUGUGAAGAAGGCCUUCGGGUUGUAAAGCACUUUCAGUGAGGAGGCGUUACUCGCAGAAGAAGCACCGGCUAACUCCGUGCCAGCAGCCGCGGUAAUAC